UGGAAGAAUGUGUGGGGAGGUUGGCUGGGGCCAGGCCCGGGCAUGGCCUGGGGUGGAGACAGCCUUGGGCCGGGAUCAGGGACCUAGGAAGGAUCUAGUCCUCGCCACAUCACUCGCUCACUGGGUGACCUCGAGAUCCCUGAGUUCACAGCAUGCCCUCCAGAAGGACCCAAGGAAUGGCCUCAUGGCCCCAGCUGACUUCUGCAGCCAAGCGAGGAAAGCCAAAGGGACCAAACCAGGACCCUGGCAACUUCUGUGGCAGGAAGCCCACAGACCCCAGCAUGAAUAGGCUCUGGGAUGGCGCCAACCAGAAACAUCUUGGAAGCAGCUUAGUGGAUGUUGUGGCGAAACCUGGAAGGAACACCAUCAUCUCUGGCCGGCCCCUCCCUGAGAACGCUGCCAUAACAAGUAGUUAUCCCCUUUGCUUUUUGUCUUUUUCUUUUCUAAACAAGCUUAUUAAAGAUUACUUAACUGCAAAGUGAAACCAUCCCCAAGCUACUAAGUAGGCUGUGACUCAGUCCGUGAGACCACGGUGGCCUCUGGGCAGUCAUCCCUGUAGGAACAGGGAUGUCCACUUCUGGUGUGGGGUCCCAGCAGGUCACCUUUCCUCCAGCAGUGCCGUUGCCCUCACCUCGCGCAGUGUCAGAGCAGUGCUCUCACCCCAGCGUAUGAAGAUGCAGAUUCCAGUCUCAUCAACGCAGAACCUGCUCCGUCCACCACUCCCGUGGACACAGUUGGCCAAUCACCCAUGAGAUCAAGUUCCCCCCCCAGCUCUGGGGGCUGUCUUCCAUCUCUUGAUGAGUGAGUGAGGACACUGCUGGGCAGAGGAAGGCAAGGAAGGCCCAGUGGCUGCCCCUCUGUCCGGGGUCCUUGCAUUCUUCGCCACAAUCAUGGAUCAGGAAUUCCGUUCUAUGAUUUUAUGGAAAGACCUGAUGUCUCCUCGUUCCUGUAGGUGCCUGAGGGACUGUCAGUUAAAACCCUCACCCAAAUCCAGAGAUGACUAUGUUUGCCUGUCCACUGGCUACCAGGUUAGCAAUGAAA